GAGGGUAUAGCUCAAUGGUAGAGCGCUUGCCUAGCAUGCACAAGGUCCUGGGCUCAAUCCCCAUACCUCCA
rnacentral:tRNA from 1 species